CUGAUGUGGCCUAAACUUCUGAAGUUCCAAAGAGAGACCAAAACUCUGUGAAAUCUCCCAAUCGUUAGAUGUUGGCAACUAAUUCAAUUAAAAAAAAAUGCACGAAGCAUGAUGUUAGCCAAACAAAACACAUCUGGGAGUCGGAUGAGGCCUCCAGACCACGCAUGUGUGACCUCUGGUCUCUAAUUUCCUAACCCAUGACUGCUAGCUGAGUGGACAGCUGGAAACAACAGCAUCGGGAACAACAAAAGCAAGAGCGAAAACCUUCUGUCUGUGCUCCGGGCUGAGCCAGGCGCGGUGCCAACACUUCGUACACAGAGGUCCAUGGGCUCCUCAACUGAUAGCGUCGUGCCCACUUUACAGAUGGGAACACUCGAGCGUCGGAGAAAGGACGCCCCUUGGCCAAGGCCACACCGUUACUAAGGGGCAGAGCAAGGAUGCGAUCGCUCUGUCUGACUCCCAGCACGGGGCUGAAGUCAAGAUGGCAAGACGACGCUGGAGUUACGGGCUUGGUUUUAUUACCGUCGAGAUGAGAUGGACUGGAGAGAGCUCAUACAGCUUUUAUAGGAACUAUUUUAUUUAUAAGAAUUUUCCUAAUGUCAGAUGGAUGUGACAUGCCUGGUUUCUUUCUGCCCGGUCUUGAGAGAGGAGGGGAACUGAGCCUGGUCUGGCCUGGGUUGCGUUUCUUUGCCCUGGAAACUACACGGUUGUUGAGGAAAAUCUGUUCUUCGGCAGUCCUCAUCCACUAGUCUCCCAGAGGACACUUGUAUACUUGUGGUGAUGGGGAACUCAUUCCCUAAGAGGCCACUCAGUCUGCAGUGAAAAGCACCAAAUCCUUUCCUACGCUAACCUCCACUGAUUGGUCCUAACUCUGCUCUCUGGACGUAGAGAGGAGAUCUCUCCGUGCACCUUGGGAGACCGCCAGGGAUUUGAAGGCAGCCACCAUCAAGUUCUGUGUCUUCCUUUUGCUGCAUGAAACAGCCCCUUUAAAUAUUUAAAGAAUAAAUAUUUCUCCAUCACUUGCUUAUUUCA